rnacentral:misc_RNA from 1 species
GUCAAUUCAUUUAAGUUUCACCGUUGCCGGCGUACUCCCCAGGUGGGAUGCUUACCGCUUUCGCUCCGGCACCCAGGGCCUGGACGCCCCGGACACCCAGCAUCCAUCGUUUACGGCGCGGACUACCAGGGUAUCUAAUCCUGUUCGAUCCCCGCGCUUUCGUGCCUCAGCGUCAGUGGCGGCACGGCACGCUGCCUUCGCAAUCGGGGUUCUGCGCGAUAUCUAUGCAUUUCACCGCUACACCGCGCAUUCCGCAUGCCUCCGCCGCACUCAAGGCCCCCAGUUCCGACGGCUCGGCGGGGUUGAGCCCCGCGAUUUCACCGCCGGCUUAAAGGCCCGCCUGCGCACCCUUUAAACCCAAUGAAUCCGGAUAACGCUCGCAUCCUCCGUAUUACCGCGG